GCUGAGAUCCCUGGAAUCGUGUGUAGCGUUCAAUUGCAGCACAUAAUACUUAGUGUGUAAAUGUUGCCUACACAUAUUUUUAGUCGUCUUAUGAGUUGAAUUGACCUCGUGAAAUGUUUAUCUGUUUUUUUUUCCUCCAUAUGUGCCGAUACUGGAAUUUCUUUUCGAGAAAUACUCACUUUCGUACUUUGAAAUUCGGAAAGUAGACAUUUCAAUUGUGGAAAUCCAAAAAGUUUUUGGGAUUAGAAUAUUUUCCUUAUUUCUUUCAAAUAUAUUGCGAGUUGUGAUUGUGAAGGAGCAAUAUAAUACCCGUAUUUGGGGAUCAUUUAAGUACAUGGAAGGAUUACUUAUCUUCUAAGGCCGUCCAACAUCAAAAAAAUAACGUAAAAUACAAGAUCGCUGACGAUUGAGAAUUUAUUUCGACUCAUCAACAUCGAAUCGAUUGAAUGCUGCAAGGUUUUGGCACAAACUAACCAGACAAUUCACUCUGCCGUUUUUAGGCACGGCGUUUCGUUGACCUUGAUAUUCACUAUGAACUACUGUAGUAAAAAAUGACAAAGGUAACCGAACUUCCCACUCUUUCUAAAAGGUUCAAAACGCAUGUGAUUUGUCAGAUUAACCCAUUCAAAUUUUUGAAUUCACCCGACUGCUUAUAUUCAACUCCUAUUCUCUUUGAAUAUUGAAUACCAAGCAAAAUUCAUCAAAGUAUUCAAAAUACCUGUUUUUUUAAAAACAUUAAAUAUAUUUCUUUGAAUUAAAACAACAAAGGAACUAAAUAUUUUAUUAUUUAUAAUUAGUAAAUAUUGAAGCCGGUCAAGGUAAAAAAAGUACGAAGUGUUCUAUUAAAAAUUGUAAUAGUGCAAGAUAUCAAGGGAUUUCUACGAAUUCCAUAAGAUUCUUCAGAUUUCCUAAUCCAGUUUAUAAGGACCGAGUGAUGCAAUGGAAAUUGGCUUGUAGUGAUGACAUAAUAAUGAACAAAGAUGCAAUGCUGUUAUAUUCAAAUAACAAAAUAUGCAGUAUCCACUUUGAUGCCAACCUAAAUCACCGUUUAUCGAAAAAUGCAAUUCCAACAUUGAAUCUGUUCCGAAAACCAAGAGGAAUAGAUGUUCAAACCCAAACAGAAGAUAAAAUGGGAACCGAAGGAAAACGAGUUGCACAUAUAGAAACUCAAACAACCAAAGAAUUAUCUCACCAAACACCAAGAAAAAGAAAGUUGAGGCAUCUAAUUGAGUCAAAGGAAAAUGAAAUUAAAGACAUUCAACCUCGAACAGUCUAUUCAGGAAAUAGAUCCCUGUAAGACACAACUAUCUGAAGACAAAUUCAAAAAUAAUAAUAAUAAUAAUAAUAGUUUAUUGUGACAUAAACAUAAAUCGCAGAGGCUGAAGCCUGUACGCGAUAUACAAUUAACAUAUGAACAAUAUUACAAUAGCCACAUUUGAAAUAAAUCUAAUUCUGAAUAAAAACUGAAUAAAUAAUGGAAUUGAUCGAAUCAUAUCAAAAUGAGGAUAACUUGAAGUGUCGAGAACUCAGUGAUGACUCUUUAGUGUUGUAACCUUGGUGACAUGCAGUUGAGGAUUACCGGUGCAUCAUCUAGAGGCCGAUCUAAGGUAGGCAGGAAUUCUUGGAUAUGAGGUUUCAUCCAUGAUUCAACCAUUGAUUAUGGAUUGAAUAUAUUUUCUUCCUUUUUCAAAAAUCCAUUUCUUUAUCAUAAUUUGUUGCUUCUUAUUGUGUCUUAUGUCUUUCAGGUUCUUCGGGAUCAUACUAUAAAUGCGUGGAGCCAGGUAUGUGAAGCAUCUUUGUCCAAUUCGCUUUUCUGCUCUAGGAAUCACGUGAAUUAUCUUACUUCUUGUUUCAUAACUGCAAUCGGUUUGUCUUAAUGUGAGUUGUAUUCUUCUAGAACAGAUGGCCGUUAAUAUCUGGGAUACAAAUAACUCUUGAGGAUUCAUUGCCCGCGAUAAGAAGUAUAAUUCGUCUGAAGGAAACAAAUGGGGCUUUCCGUAGAUUACACGGAGCAACCAUUUCUGGACCACUUCUACUCUUUUUAUAUGACAUUCGUAUGCUCCACCCCAGGCAAUAAUUCCAUACUUUAUCAGCGAUUGGCAUAGAGCAUUAUAUAUCUGCAUUAGCCUUUCUAUUUCCAAAUACUUUUUAAGGUAUCUAAACUUUGAUAGAAGGCAUCUA